CCGCGUGGGAGAAGAAUUGUCGGGUUCCAGCAUCCAUGACCUAUAGUUUGGUUCCGUGUGAGUCUGCGCAUGCAGUACAAUAGAUGUGGGAGCAGUUUAUUGCAGGCAUCAGUGUGUUUCUGAAUCCUCUCCUCUGGCAUUGGGUCUCUAGCAUUUGGGUCCAUGAUUGAAACUCUGUUUCUUGAAAGAUGAAAUGCAUAAUAUGACCAUAUAUCACCAUAGAGGACGAGGGUACGUUAAUACCUGGAAAUCAAUGUUUUGACUUUUGAGUUUGCAUGAAGGAAUCAAUUGCAGAAUUUGC
rnacentral:lncRNA from 1 species